rnacentral:rRNA from 1 species
UACGUAGGGUGCGAGCGUUGUCCGGAAUUAUUGGGCGUAAAGGGCGCGUAGGCGGCUCUGCACGUUCGUUGUGAAAUCGCCCGGCUCAACUGGGCGGGGUCAGCGGAUACGGCAGAGCUUGAGCAAGCUAGGGGGCAAUGGAAUUCCCGGUGUAGUGGUGGAAUGCGUAGAUAUCUGGAGGAACACCGGUGGCGAAGGCGGCAUCCUGGACCAACACUGACACUGAGGAGCGAAAGCCAGGGGAGCAAACGGG